rnacentral:rRNA from 1 species
UACGUAGGGUGCAAGCGUUAAUCGGAAUUACUGGGCGUAAAGCGUGCGCAGGCGGUUAUGUAAGACAGUUGUGAAAUCCCCGGGCUCAACCUGGGAACUGCAUUUGUGACUGCAUCGCUGGAGUGCGGCAGAGGGGGGAUGGAAUUCCGCGUGUAGCAGUGAAAUGCGUAGAUAUGCGGAGGAACACCGAUGGCGAAGGGCAAUCCCCUGGGCCUGCACUGACGCUCAUGCACGAAAGCGUGGGGAGCAAACAGG